CCCUUAGAUGUCCUGGGCCGCACGCGCGCUACACUGAGUGUCUGAGAUACGAGUCUGCCUGGUCCGGCAAGGUCUAGGUAAUCGCUAAAAGACACAUCAUGCUUGGGAUAGAUUAUUGCAAAUAUUAAUCUUGAACGAGGAAUUCCUAGUAAGCGCAAGUCAACAGCUUGCGUUGAUUACGUCCCUGCCCUUUGUAAACACCGCCCGUCGCUACUACUGAUUGGAUGUUUAAGCGAGGUUCUCGAACUGCUAGCGACUUAGCUUCGGUGAGGUCGCAGUGUGGGAAGUGAACCUAGCUUUGGUGUCUAGAGGAAGUAAAAGUCGUAACA
rnacentral:rRNA from 1 species